GACGAACGCUGGCGGCGUGCUUAACACAUGCAAGUCGAACGGAAAGGCCCUGCUUUUGUGGGGUGCUCGAGUGGCGAAAGGGUGAGUAAAACGUGAGUAACCUGCCCUUGACAUUGGGAUAACUUCAGGAAACAGGGGCUAAUACCGGAUAGGAGAUCCUGCUGCAUGGUGGGGGUUGGAAAGUGUCGGCGGUUGGGGAUGGACUCGCGGCUUAUCAGCUUGUUGGUGGGGUAGUGGCUUACCAAGGCUUUGACGGGUAGCCGGCCUGAGAGGGUGACCGGCCACAUUGUGACUGAGAUACCGCCCAUACUCCUACUGGAGGCAUCAGUGGGGAAUAUUGCACACUGGGCGGAAGCCUGAUGCAGCGACGCCGCGUGCUGGAUGACUGCCUUCGGGUUGUAACCCGCUUUCGCCUGUGACGAAGCGUGAGUGACGGUAAUGGGUAAAGAAGCACCGGCUAACUACGUG
rnacentral:rRNA from 1 species